UUUGGACACCUGACUGUUGUUUUAAGACAGACUUGAAAAAUUGUGAACCUAUCCUUUAAGUAGAAAUAUUGAAACUGUCAGAACAGAGACCCUGUAUCAAACAAACAGAUAAUAUACUACAUAUUAAACAACUGAGAAAUCUCCAUGGCAACUGAGAAAAAUCACAAGACUUUAUGAUGGUUGGAAGUAAGUGGACCUUCAGACACUAUCAUGUUGUCAAAUGAAUCAAACCAACACUACAUGUAAACCUUUCACUGUAUUAGGAGGAUAUAACACCUCUAUUUUUUUAUCAUAUUGCAAUUAUUUGUUAAGUACAUUAUCAAGUUUAAUUUAUGUACCACUUUUCUAAAAACCAGAGUUUACAAAAGGCCUAGAACGCUUUAAAAAACAAUGUUUUGUAUGACAAGUUGGAAGUAUUCCUCUUAAAGUGUUAUGGAAGAUUUGCAAUCCUGUCAUUUUCACACCAUUCCCUCCACUCACCCUGGCUCGGGGUCCGAGACACAUUGCAAUAUGACAUUAGAGAUAGGACAACUGUAUUUUAAUCUGUGUUGGACAGCAAUAUUGAAUGUCCCUUUUGCACUCUGGCAACACUUGGGGGCGUGCAUGAGGUGUAUGCUGUCAGCUGCCUGGCGGAGGGACCCCGCCGGCCUACUAUUGAAGAGUUUCUGCAUUGUUGUCAUUCCAGCUGGGGGUAGCUGAUAGCAGCACUGAAAGGUAAGACAGUGGCUGUCUGUGCUCUCUGUAGGCUGGCCUGCUGCAUUUACAGUAGGUUUUGUUAGAUGAAUAUAAUGUUGGUCUUGACACUGUCUCUGGUAUUGUUUAUUUGACAUCUGUGGAUUGUUUGUUGUCACUGAUGCUCCGGGUAGUUAUUACAUGCCUGACAAGGUAAGAGAAAAAGUUCACUUUGUUUACUUUGAUUCAUAUCAGUAUUAAAUGAAGUGAUUCAUAUCUGUCAUCUAUCAGCCAGCCUUACGGAGACCAGAGCAUUUGUACUGUAAUCCUUUACUAUAACACAUGCCACAGCUUAUUUGUUUGUGUGCUGACAAUGCGAUGAUGUAACAUUUUAAUAAGUUUUACUCCAGUUAUACACUGACAUGCUCGUCAUUAUUCACACGCUCUGUUUACAGAUGGCAGGAGUAAUCUUCACCAAUUUGGACAACAUAUGCAAUGUGGAUUGUACCAAUGUCCACCCCCUGGUGUGUCACCUGUGCCAUGAGCAGUACCAGUCCCCAUGUCUGUUGGACUGUUACCACAUCUUCUGUGCCCGCUGCUUACGAGGCCGGACCAACGACAGCCGUCUCAACUGCCCCCUCUGUGGAUACCCAUCCAUAGUUAAAGGGAGUAAUGCCCUCCCACCAGAGGACCGUUUGCUGAAGUUCCUGGUCGACAACAAUGCAGAAGCUGAGGAGAUAGUGCAGUGUGCCAACUGUGACCAGGAAAGUAACAAAAAGGACACUGGGGUGAUGUACUACUGUAACACUUGUAGCCAGCCACUGUGUGGCGCCUGCAGGGAGCUGACACACAAGGCCAGAAUGUUUUCCCAUCAUGAGAUCGUAUCCCUGGCCAAACGCACCAAAGCCAAACACAGGAAGUGCUCUCUUCAUGAGGAGCCCUACAUCCUGUUCUCAACAGAGAAUAAGUCGAUGCUUUGCAUCAGGUGCUUCAGAGACAUGCAAGUGGAGAGUCGUACGCACUGCAUUGAUAUCGAAACAGCUUAUGUGCAAGGAUGUGAGAUGUUGGACCAGGCUGUGCUGGUGGUGAAGGAGCUGCAAACUUCAACUCGAGAGGCAAUCGUUCUGCUGAGAGCAAUGAUAGGGGAAGUGUGUCUGAAUGUGGAAGAAGAGGAGAGUGCAAUCUGUACCCUGUUCAACAGUUUGCAGGAAAAACUAGCAGAGAGGAAGAAGAUUCUGCUGAAAGCAGCUCAGAGUCAACAUGAGGAGAAGGAGAAGGCACUAAAGGAACAACUUUCACACCUUACUGCUCUCCUCCCAACCCUCCAGGUACAUCUCGUCACCUGUUCAGCCUUCCUCAGCUCAGCCAACAAGUUUGAGUUUUUGGAUAUGGGCUACCAACUCAUGGAGAGGCUGAAGAGGAUUGUAAAGCUCCCUCAUCGACUGAGACCAGUGCAGAGCAGCAAAAUCAACACAGACUACCGCAGUGAGUUUGCUCGCUGUCUAGAACCCCUACUGCUGCUAGGACAGCGCUGCCCUCCUUCUGUCAUCGGAUCCACAAGUGUUGGAACGAGGCUCCAGUCCCCUCUCUCCAUGUCUUGCCACUCUCCGUCUCUCAGUGAGAUGCCGCUGGGUUCUGUGUUCGGGCGAAGGCCCACGUCUCACCGCAACAUCUGCACCAAGGUCCUCCUGGCUGAGGGGAGGGAGACGCCCUUCACCGAGCACUGCCACAACUAUGAGAACACCUACAGGACUCUCCAGACAGAGGUUCAGAAUCUGAAGGACCAGGUGCAGGAGCUGCACCGAGACCUGACCAAGCACCACUCCAUCAUCAACACAGAUCAAAUGGGCGAGAUCCUGGACAGAUCGCUGCACAUUGACAGCCAGAUAGCUUCCCAGUACUCCACUGUGGAAACUAUGAGAGUCAUGUUUGAAGAGAUGUGGGAUGAGACUUUUCAGAGGGUCACUAACGAGCAGGAGAUCUAUGAGGCCCAGCUUCAUGAUCUGAUGCAGUUGAAGCAGGAGAACUCUUACCUAACCACUAUCGCCAGGCAGAUCAGCCCCUACAUCCUGUCCAUCGCUAAGGUCAAAGAGAGGCUCGAGCCCAGGUUUCAGGAGCCUAAAGAGCACCAUGAUGACCGCACAGAAACAAUGCUGAAAAUCUAUGAAGACAGCACGAUGACCAAAGAAAGUCAAGACAGUGACAACCAGACCUGUGUCACAGACCAAGACAGAGACAAGAACAACCGCACGCUGCUUCUCGAGGCGGGGGAGAGCUCUGUCAAGACCAAUCGGUCAGGCAGGCAGAGGGGCCCCGCGGAGACGUCCAGCCUCAAUGAGAUGCCUUCAUAAACACCUGUCAUUUGAUUUCUGUCCCCCUCUCCCCUCUUUGCCUCUGUGCUACAAUGCCUUAAUUCAACUAUAACAAGCCCAGGAUGUGUGUCUGCUGGAAUUGCUUUUUGCAGUAUCUAUUCUUUGCAUAAAACAUUUUUUGGAGGCUAGGGGCUUAUGAUGGAUGACUGCCCAGGUCCGAUUCCCUAGAAGAUUGUUGAACCGGUGUGACAGCACAGAUGGAACACAGCAAAUGCAAUGAUGUGUGUGUCAUUCUGGUUGUCAGUGUAGGUCACAUGUUGUGUGUGUCAUGUGUAUCAGCCCCAUGCAUCAGCCCCCUUCAAAAUGAGGCAGUCUUUUACAGGAGUCUGCAGUUUCCUGCAGUUUCUACAUCUACAUGCAAAAAGUGCAAAAGCUGGAAUUACAGAGGUGUGUGAAUGUAAAUGGCCUCGCCUUAACCCUGAUCUCCUGAUAGUUUUUCAGACUCCACACUCAUACUCAAUAUGCCAGCCUACCAAGGCACAGUGUACUGCUGUAAGAAAUAUAUUCCUCUUAGUCUGCCCCUCGACUUCAUCACGUCGGUGUCAGCAGCAUGCUUUAAGGAGUUUGCCUUGCAUGAAAAUCAGCAGAUCCCAUGUUGAAACUGACAAGAAGCGGAACGUAGAGGCAUUUACCCUACUGCUGCAAAGGCAGGCUGAUCUGGAGGAGCUGCCAUGUAUCACCAGAAAAAAAUUGAAUUUGAAUUGAUUUCAGGAGAUAGUGUUGCUACGAGUAAAAGCUUUUUUUUGAAGGACUUUUUAUGCUGCUGAGAAAAACAACAUUUUUGAGAAACACACUGGAGUGAUUCAAGGUGAAACCUCCCCACCUGCUACCAGCACACAGACAGGGACGGCCCAAAUUCUUGGCACAGCUACGGAUAAUAAUGAGGACCUAGACUGAUGGCUUCGGCAAACAGAAGGAGAAGGUUAUUUACAUUAUAUAGACGGAGCUAAAGUGGGUUUGUUCAGAGACACCGCUGCACAGAAAAUAUUGGGGUCAUGUUGGCCUUAAGGAACAGUCCUGCUCUGCAGAGGAGUCAGAGGUGCAGAUUCAUUAAAAAUACAUUUGUGACAGCAGAGUAACAAAUGGCUGUGCCUCUGCUCUGGUCCUGUACUCCCUCCCCGUGGUCAUUCAUCAUCUGCACUCAUCGAACCACCACUGUUCAUUAUUCUCUCUCUCUCAGCCUCUACUGUGCUCCCUCACCUAUUGCCUGAGGGGGGGAAAAUAAAACUCAGAAGGUUAUUUCACUCCAAGAAAUAAAAGUU